AUGGUAUUGGUGGAAGAGAUGUAUUCUUUUGUAGGAAACAAGACAAAUUGGUAUGUGAAAAAGGCUUUUUCUUUAAGAGGUGGUGGAUUGCUACAUCGGUCAGUAAAUAGCAGGGUCCUCUACUGGAAUACAGAGAAUCUCAGAGGUAAAAUCACUUUAGCUGGCACGAUUAUCACUGUUCACUGCUGUAUUCAAAAUGCUGCUGAAUGUGAUAAUGAGCGAUGUCUUUUUUCCAUCACUUCAAUACAGGUUCUUGAUUAUUGGCUUCUCAGCACAUCUUCCAGAUAAAGAGGCAGAGCACAUGGUAGUAUACUGAACAUCUACCUGAGGGGUUAACACAUUGUGACUCUCUUUGAUCACAGUGGCUGUCCUCACUCUCGCCCAACCUCCUCCUGAAGUGUUCUGCAACUUUCUCCUUUAGUAAGCAGGUUCAUGUGGUAGCCACAGACACUGAGGUAACAAAAUUAUAUUAACUAUAUUUCUGGCAAGUGUUUGAACUCUCCUAAUUACUCUUUUCUUACUCUGAUCAGACUUUAAUGUGUAUGUCAUCUUGCAUGAGAAAGGUUUUGAUCAUUUCUGUGAAUUAAGGAAAAAAGAUCCUGUGAGAUGUGAGAUUCUGAAGGAAAAU
rnacentral:lncRNA from 1 species